UACGUAGGUGGCAAGCGUUGUCCGGAUUUACUGGGCGUAAAGAGCGCGCAGGCGGUUGUUUAAGUCGAAUGUGAAAGCCCCCGGCUCAACUGGGGAGGGUCAUUCGAUACUGGAUGGCUUGAAUCCGGGAGAGGGAUGCAGAAUUCCAGGUGUAGCGGUGAAAUGCGUAGAUAUCUGGAGGAAUACCGGUGGCGAAGGCGGCAUCCUGGACCGGCAUUGACGCUGAUGAGCGAAAGCCAGGGGAGCAAACGGG
rnacentral:rRNA from 1 species